rnacentral:rRNA from 1 species
AACGCUAGCUACAGGCUUAACACAUGCAAGUCGAGGGGCAGCAUGGUCUUAGCUUGCUAAGGCCGAUGGCGACCGGCGCACGGGUGAGUAACACGUAUCCAACCUGCCGUCUACUCUUGGACAGCCUUCUGAAAGGAAGAUUAAUACAAGAUGGCAUCAUGAGUCCGCAUGUUCACAUGAUUAAAGGUAUUCCGGUAGACGAUGGGGAUGCGUUCCAUUAGAUAGUAGGCGGGGUAACGGCCCACCUAGUCUUCGAUGGAUAGGGGUUCUGAGAGGAAGGUCCCCCACAUUGGAACUGAGACACGGUCCAAACUCCUACGGGAGGCAGCAGUGAGGAAUAUUGGUCAAUGGGCGAGAGCCUGAACCAGCCAAGUAGCGUGAAGGAUGACUGCCCUAUGGGUUGUAAACUUCUUUUAUAAAGGAAUAAAGUCGGGUAUGGAUACCCGUUUGCAUGUACUUUAUGAAUAAGGAUCGGCUAACUCCGUGCCAGCAGCCGCGGUAAUACGGAGGAUCCGAGCGUUAUCUGGAUUUAUUGGGUUUAAAGGGAGCGUAGAUGGAUGUUUAAGUCAGUUGUGAAAGUUUGCGGCUCAACCGUAAAAUUGCAGUUGAUACUGGAUAUCUUGAGUGCAGUUGAGGCAGGCGGAAUUCGUGGUGUAGCGGUGAAAUGCUUAGAUAUCACGAAGAACUCCGAUUG